GACGAACGCUGGCGGCGUGCCUAAUACAUGCAAGUCGAACGCAGUGGGGACGGGUGAGUAACAAGUGGGUAACCUACCCUCAGAGGGGGUAACACUUGGAAACAGGUGCUAAACCGAUACGGAUUGCUGAAACCGCGGUGCAUUAGCUAGUUGGUGAGGUAACGGCUCACCAAGGCCACGAUGCAUAGCCGACCUGAGAGGGUGAUCAGCCACACUGGGACUGAGACACGGCCCAGACUCCUACGGGAGGCAGCAGUAGGGAAUAUUCCGCAAUGGACGAAAGUCUGACCGAGCAAUGCCGCGUGUGUGAAGAAGGCUUUCGGAUCGUAAAGCUCUGUUGUUCGAGAAGCGUUAUCUAACCAGAAAGCAACGGCUAACUACGUGCCAGCAGCCGCGGUAAUAC
rnacentral:rRNA from 1 species